rnacentral:rRNA from 1 species
AAUGAACGUUGGCGGCGUGGAUUAGGCAUGCAAGUCGUGCGGAAAGGCCCCGCAAGGGGUACUCGAGCGGCGUAAGGGAUAGUAAUGCGUGGAUACCUGCCCUGGGGACGGGGAUAGCUGCUGGAAACGGCAAUUAAUACCCGAUGACGUCUCCGGACCAAAGGUGCAAUUCCGCCCUGGGAGGGGUCCGCGUCCUAUUAGCUAGUUGGUGAGGUAACGGCUCACCAAGGCCACGAUGGGUAGCGGGUGUGGGAGCACGACCCGCAUCACUGGGACUGAGACACUGACCAGACACCUACGGGUGGCUGCAGUCGAGGAUCUUCGGCAAUGGGCGAAAGCCUGACCGAGCGACGCCGCGUGCGGGAUGAAGGCCUUCGGGUUGUAAACCGCUUUCGGAGGGGAGGAAGUUCAAGGGGGAUCACCCCUUUGUUUGACCUAUCCUCAGAAGAAGGACGGGCUAAGUUCGUGCCAGCCGCCGCCGUAAGAC